GGGUACAUAGGAAACCCUACCGUGAACGUUGUCUUAUCCCAGACGGGGUAUGGAGACUUGGUAAAUCGGAGCUCAUACUGGACGGGGUAUGGAGAUUACCUGCUUCACCCUCAUACCAGAUGAGGUAUUGAGGUUUAAUAUCUUUGGCACUCAUACCGGACGGGGUAUGGGGAUGGCCCUGUAAUUGAGAUUGUUAAGGGAAAGGGUUCACGUGUAGCGGGGACACCCCUAUGAACCCUCAUGGAUACUAGUAGGCUGGUGAAACGAGAAACAAUUAUGAUUUGGUUUAUUGUUAAUGAAUAUGAAUUUAUGAUAUGCUCUAUGUUGCUGAUUGUGCAUGAAGUUAUGAUCUGUAUGGUAUUAUUAUUUCUAUAGGUUGUUUUCAUAAAUUCCACAAUG
rnacentral:lncRNA from 1 species